rnacentral:lncRNA from 10 species
CAGGGACAGAAAGGAAGGGGAUAGGGUCUCCCUCUGUCUCCCAGGCUGGAGUGCAAUGGUGGGAUCUUGGCUCACUGCAGCUUUGAACUCCUGGGCUCAAGCGAUCCUCUCACUUCAACCUCCUGAGUAGCUGGGACUACAGGGCUUCUUCGCUGGAAUGAGGAAGAGGAGGAAGCCAAGGAAGACAGAGACUGUGGCAUCAGUACGGUAGCCUUUCCUAGUAAAGAGACAAGCAUAGCUGAGGAGAAGGGUCAGGAAUUUUCAGGAGUAACAUGAUGUCUCGGAGCAGUCUGUCCGAACACAGUGCCUCUUUUUAGGACUUAUCUAGAGGUAACAUUAAGCUUAGUUCUUGCCAGUUGCUGCCACGCUAUCCACUUUGGAUUUAAUGGGCAAUGGCGAAUGUCUGGAGGCAGGGCCUGGCUAGAGUAGAUGUCUUAAUGUGAAUUUGUGAGCCCGUUAAUUGGGGCAAGUCCUAGAUGGAGUGAUCAGGAGUGGAGUUGGUUAGAUAAAGGAGAAUAGAAGAGGAUGAGACCUCUUUCCUAUGAAGGCCACACCUCCAUGUGCCUCCCUUCUCAAGUGAGAAGUUGAUUUCUUCUUUACAGUUGGUACUUUAUAGAUGUUUCCUCCUUUAACUUUCAUAACCACCUAUGAGGUAACCAAGCUUCCAAGAGCUUAUGUAAUGAGACUACAUGCAGCACUGGAUUCCAACCCCAGACCGGGACUCCAAAGAGUGUUUUUCCUUCCUGAUUUCACACUGCAGCCUCCCUAAAAAGAGUGGAUUUCCUGGGGAAUGAAAUCUUCCUGGCUUCAUAUCUGCCCCUGAGAGUCUAUGAAGUCUUGCCUGAAGAAUUGGGGUGAGGGGGUUGUUCUUAAGGAGGAAAUGAUAUCACUUACUUUUCAAAGAAAGAAUCCCAGCCAGGGACAAAGCCAGGCUCCCGGGUAAACCACAGUACGGUCAUCAGGAUGAAGAAAAAUCCAGUCACCAUUUCUGGGUAGCUAUAAAAUAAAACAGAAAGACCCACUCAGGAAC